GCUGGGCACGGUGCCACGUGCCUGUAAUCCCAGCUACUCGGGAGGCUGAGGCAGGAGAAUCGCUUGAGCCCAGGAGGCGGAGGUUGCAGUGAGCCGAAAUUGCGCCACUGCACUCCAGCCUGGGCAACAGAGCGAGACUCCAUCUCAA
rnacentral:SRP_RNA from 1 species